UCCCAUUAGCACAUGGCGGUUGACAAACUGCUCCACACACGCAAACAACUCUCAGGAACAGUGCGUUAGGAAUAACAGGGACUUGUAAAGGUGGUGUGGAGCUGAAGUUAAUGAACUAGAAAGCUAGAACCCAGUGGCAUGCUGAUCCAAUCUUGUGAGGACCAAUUCACCAAGUGGGAUGAUCACCGGCAAAGCAGAGUCCAUCUGUCGAGGUAUUUGAUUUCUUUCAUUCAUAUUCUCUCCCUUAAACUCUCCAUAUUAUGAAUUGAAGUAAACAUAAAGCAAAGGCCAAAAUCACAGCUGUGGAGCUGCUGGGUCCGUAUUCUUUUAUCUGUCUCAUCUGUAUGGCUUUUGAAAUUAGGGAAUGAUGAUUGAAGUUUUUUCCUCAUACUUUGAAGGAAUGGCUUGUUGCUUUUUAUUAGUAGUGCAUGUCCCAUCUCUUUCAA